UACGGGGGGGGCAAGCGUUGUUCGGAAUUACUGGGCGUAAAGGGCUCGUAGGUGGCCAACUAAGUCAGACGUGAAAUCCCUCGGCUUAACCGGGGAACUGCGUCUGAUACUGGAUGGCUUGAGUUUGGGAGAGGGAUGCGGAAUUCCAGGUGUAGCGGUGAAAUGCGUAGAUAUCUGGAGGAACAACGGUGGCGAAGGCGGCAUCCUGGACCAACACUGACACUGAGGAGCGAAAGCCAGGGGAGCAAACGGG
rnacentral:rRNA from 1 species